CUUUGUUGGAGGAGGGGGUCCUAUCAAAAGAUUAUUGCCCUUAUCCUCCUCUUCCUCUUCUUCUUCCUCUUCCUCUUCUUCUCUUCUUCUUCCUCUUCCUCCUCUUCUUCUUCUUCUUCUUCUUCUUCGUUAGUUAAGUUGCACCUGAACUAACAUGAUCAUUUGAUUACAUAGGAUAAAUCCAAAUGAGCCAUAUUGUAGCAUUUACAAUGAAAUAACCAGUCAGACAACUAAUACGAAGUUGAAGGGUUCAGAACCUCCUGCUGUUGAUUAUGUCGUUGUGAAAAUCAAAACACAUCUACAGAAGGUGAUUGAUUCUAGAAUAUAUUCGACUUUGAGAAGAUACAUGUCCGGUCCCAUCAAGGGGAGAAAGCGUGGUGGCGGUAACUGAUUUUUGAAGAAAUGAAACGAGACUCACUCCUUGCUCAUGGAGCAGCAUAUUUAUUGCAUGAUAGACUCCAUAGAAGCUCUGGUCAUCGCAUUGCAGAUGUGUUUUCUGAAUGUGGAAGUAUCCUAACAGCAUCAUUAAUCCGAUCACCAAAAUAAGCUGUGCAGGAAAUUGUUGGUCUGCCACCUGCUAGAGAAUCCAAAGAGGUAAGUUGUCGUGCUUGCGAGACAAGUUAGGGAAUUGGAGGCUGUUGAAAUGUCUUACACGUUCAAAUAUCUAGUGGCUGAACAUCAAGAUGAACCCUUACACUAAGUAACGGGGCUGGUGCUUUAUACGUGUUUCAGGAAGUUGAUAUGAUCUGUCCAAUAGCAACUAGGAGCUUGACAUCCAUUUCUUCCUAUAACUGGACUCUCCCACUGUGCAAAUGCCCAAAAAAGGUUUUGCAGCAUCAGAUAACUUGAUUCUGGCAAUGGUGAUUGAGUUUAGACAUCAAAAGGCAAAAGUGUACUGCAAAUAAGACAUGGUUCUUUUCAUCUCUAUAGUGCAGUGUGGGGGCAAAAUAUAGAGGCAGAUCCAAGAUUUGAACUUGAUGGGCUCAACAUUUUGAAGUUCUUACGCUGAACCCGUUGCACUUUUAAAUUUAUGGGUUGAGAGUUUAUUACUUGUUGGCACUUCAAUGAUUUUUCACAUACACAUCUAUACUCUGUGAAACAAAUGAUUGGUUUAGUUGUACCCUUCAAAUAUAUAGUGCAUCCGCCUCGGGCAAAUUUUGGAGAAUCUCAUUUUUAAGGAUCCUGAGUUGUACAAGUUCUCGUCUGUCUCGAAGGGUGCAAAAUAUAGAACCAAGUUUUUCUAGAACAAAUUAUAGAAUAUGUGCUUUAUACUUAGUUAAUUAUAGCGUUUUGUACAUUGUAGGAAUUGGAUAUAUAAGAUGUUAUCAAUGCUGAGGCUGUCUUGCAGUCAAUAUAUGUUUUAUUUA